AUAAAACUCACACCACUUCUCUCUUUUUUUUCUUUCAGAGUCACGAAAUGCAUAGUAUCAAUUGAACCAGAUGUAGAGUUUGUGUGAUAGAGUCAUUAGAUAAUUAGUUUAUUUCUGAUACCAAAAAAUAUUUAAAAAUUUUGUAAUUGAACAAGUUUGAUUAUUUGAUUAUAAUGGAUUCAUUUAGUUGAAUAAUUCGGGAUGGUUUGGAGAUAAAGUUACUAUGUCUUGAAAAAAUCCAUAUUAAUAAUAAUGGGUCAAAUAUGAUCACUAAAAUCUUGCUCAUGAAAAAAAUUAUUGCUUGUAGAGAAAAAGCAGGCUUGGUGGAACCCCCACAUGAGUCGGGAGAGAGAAAUUUGUUGGCAUGGUUGGGACCUACCUUAUUUAAAUUUUAAGAUAAAAAAAGAGGAUAAGAAGGAAGCCACUGGGUGAGGGAAUUGCAAUGAAACCGAAAAUGGAUUUAGCUGAAAUUUCAGUAUAUUUUUUUCGAUAUUGAGAUCUACAGAUUGAAUUGUUUGGAUCCUUGAAAAGUCUUAUCGAUUGAUUUUUUCAAGCAUAAACACUUGGUGAGAUCUAUUCUCUAUUUUGCUAUUUAUUGUUGAAAUUCGCCAUAUUGAUGAUGAAUGUUCUUGUUGUGAAAGCCAAGUUAAAUCUUGUUGAUGUUUGUACAGUGGAAGUUUUUGGCUGGACUAUGUCUCGUAAUUUUUCUCUUCACAUAAAAAGGUUUUCCACAUUAAAAAAAUUGUAUUGCUUAUUUUGCUUGUUAAUUGUAUGAAUAGAUUGUAGAGAUUAUUGUCGCUGGGUGAGUGAUAUUCCAUUUAAUUACACAAAAAGAAAAAAAAGGUUUGCGGCAUCAUUAUUGUUUGUGAUGCAGGACAACUGCAGAAAGGAGAGGAAAGAGAGGAGAAGAGGAGGGGGAAGAAGAGAAGGGG
rnacentral:lncRNA from 1 species